rnacentral:rRNA from 1 species
GACGUAGGGCGCGAGCGUUUGUCCGGAUUUAUUGGGCGUAAAGAGCUCGUAGGUGGUUUGUCGCGUUGUCCGUGAAAACUCACAACUCAAUUGUGGGCGUGCGGGCGAUACGGGCAGACUGGAGUACUGCAGGGGAGACUGGAAUUCCUGGUGUAGCGGUGGAAUGCGCAGAUAUCAGGAGGAACACCGGUGGCGAAGGCGGGUCUCUGGGCCGAUACUGACGCUGAGGAGCGAAAGCGUGGGGAGCGAACAGG